AUACGGAGGAUCCGAGCGUUAUCCGGAUUUAUUGGGUUUAAAGGGUGCGCAGGCGGCCAUUUAAGUCAGCGGUUAAAUCGUGGGGCUCAACCCCAUUCUGCCGUUGAUACUGGGUGGCUUGAUUGCGGUCGAGGUUGGCGGAAUUCGUUGUGUAGCGGUGAAAUGCAUAGAUAUGACGAAGAACACCGAUUGCGUAGGCAGCUGACCAGACCGCAAAUGACGCUCAUGCACGAAAGUGCGGGGAUCGAACAGGAUUAGAUACCCUGGUAGUCCGCACAGUAAACGAUGAAUACUUGUUUUCGGCGAUAUAAUGUCGGAGGCAAAGCGAAAGCGAUAAGUAUUCCACCUAGGGAGUACGCCGGCAACGGUGAAACUCAAAGGAAUUGACGGGG
rnacentral:rRNA from 1 species